rnacentral:misc_RNA from 1 species
UAAUCAACGAGAACGCUAAACGUUUUUCAAGAGAUGCCUAUGUAUAAAUGAUGGUUGAAAGUGGGACUACCUGCAUUAAUAAAUCCAGAGUUGCUGAUAUUUGAUGUGUUGAUUCCAGGGCUAUCUUAAUUAGCCACGUCAUGUCUGUUACAUUCAAUACAUUACAUGGAAUAAAUUAGCUUUACCUUUCUCUGUGAAAAACGUUUAGCGUUCUCGUUGAUUA